ensembl:lncRNA novel transcript
UGAAACUAAAGAGUAUCUGGCAGAAAAUGUGGGAGAAUACCUUCACAACCUCAGGAAGGCAAAGUUUUCUUAAAGAAAAGAUGAAAAGGAAAGCAAUUGACAAAUUGUAUACUUACUGUGCAUUGGGUUUAAGAUAAAUUAUACCUCAAUUUAAGAAAUGCUUUUUGAGGUAUUUAUGUUUCUGUAUUUCCAAGCACAUGGGAAUUUUCUGGUUAUCUGUUGUUGAUUUCUCAUUUAAUUGCAUUGUAGUCAGAGGCUAUAUUCUGUAUGAUUUCAAAGCCUGACAGUUUGAGACUGGCCUGAUGACACAUUGCUAUGGUGCUUUUAUUAACGUCUGCAUGAGUUUGAAAUGAAUGUGUAUCUGCAGGUGCUGGAUCCAGUGUCCACAAACAUUACUCUUUCUUAAUUGCUUUGUUCAAAUCUUUUGAAUAGCUACUGAUUUUUUCUGUGCUUGCUGUGUAACUUGCUGAUAGAUGUGUUAAAAUCCCCCACUAUGACCA